rnacentral:rRNA from 1 species
GGAAUAUUGGACAAUGGGCGGAAGCCUGAUCCAGCCAUCCCGCGUGCAGGAUGACGGCCCUCUGGGUUGUAAACUGCUUUAGACUGGGAAGAAAGUUGUGCUUUUAAGUGCAAUUGACGGUACCAUUAGAAUAAGCACCGGCUAACUCCGUGCCAGCAGCCGCGGUAAUACGGAGGGUGCAAGCGUUAUCCGGAAUUACUGGGUUUAAAGGGUGCGUAGGCGGCUAUAUAAGUCAGAGGUGAAAGCCCGGAGCUUAACUUCGGAAUUGCCUUUGAUACUGUAUAGCUUGAAAGAGGUUGAGGUCAGCGGAAUGUGACAUGUAGCGGUGAAAUGCAUAGAUAUGUCAUAGAACACCAAUUGCGAAGGCAGCUGGCUGGGCCUACUUUGACGCUGAGGCACGAAAGCGUGGGGAGCGAAC